rfam:Mus musculus chromosome 4, GRC primary reference assembly.
GCAUUGGUGGUUCAAUGGUAGAAUUCUCGCCUCCCACUCGGGUGACCCGGGUUCGAUUCCCGGCCAAUGCA